UACGGAGGGGGCUAGCGUUGUUCGGAAUUACUGGGCGUAAAGCGCACGUAGGCGGCUUUGUAAGUUCGAGGUGAAAGCCUGGUGCUCAACACCAGAACUGCCUUUAAGACUGCAUCGCUUGAAUCAUGGAGAGGCGGGUGGAAUUCCGAGUGUAGAGGUGAAAUUCGUAGAUAUUCGGAAGAACACCAGUGGCGAAGGCGGCCCGCUGGACAUGUAUUGACGCUGAGGUGCGAAAGCGUGGGGAGCAAACAGG
rnacentral:rRNA from 1 species